CAGUAAAGGUCACUGGAAUAGGCUCUUGGAUUCAUUAUAGCCAAGUAAAGGCCUAGGAAGCCAGCGAAGUCAUCUGCAUUGACCCAGAAGAACACUCGAAGUACCAAUGUGAAGAUAUCAGGGACCUCAAGUUAAAAAAUCACACCUAACACUCUCAGAGGUCUACAUCAGGAGUUGGCAAGCUUUGUCUACAAAGGACCAGCAGCAAAGUUUUCAGACCUUGCAAAAAAUAUGAUAUCUGCAACUACUCAACUCUGCCACUGUAGCAUGAAAGCAGUCACAGAUAAUAGAAGCCUGAACAAAUUAAGACAGUUAUCAACAAGAAACUCCACUAUCUUAGAGAGAAAUGAGCCAUUGGAGGAGCUCAGAUGGAUGUUACAAGCACUGUCUCUUACCCAAAAGAGUUCAGCUCUCCAGGAAGACACGAGAAAGAAGCUUGGAAAGUUGGACUUAGUUUCAUCUCUUCAGAAGUCAGGGACUCCUGACUACCAUCAUGAAGGAACAUUUCAUCACUCUCUUCAGAGGACAGGUCACUGUAAUUGGUUCUAG
rnacentral:lncRNA from 1 species